CUGUUUUAGCCUUUUUGGAUUAUUCGUGAGGCAUUUAACAUAGUGUUGUAGUUUUUCAUCUGUAUCAGAUAUGAUGUAACAUUUACAUGCUUCAGUUUUCACUUGCAAGGAGUUAGAUGAUGCUGACGAUGUUGAUAAUUAUUGUGGUGAUGAUGAGCAAGAUGAUGAUAAGAAAGAUGAUGCUGACGAUGUUGAUAAUUAUUGUGGUGAUGAUGAGCAAGAUGAUGAUAAGAUGUUGAUGAUGAUGGGCAUCAGGAUCUAUGAUGCUGAAAGGAAAUGAUUUCCAGAAAGGCAGCUGAAAGGAUGAUUUGCCAAUCACAUCCAUCUCUACUAGAGAAGAUGAAAAAUGCAUUCGAUAUGUGGAGAACUCAUUGAAAAGGUUUCUUCAUUUUCUCAGCAGACCAGAGAAAGAGACAUACAGAGAGUGAUGGCCAGGAGAGCGCCAUGGUCACCGGAAAAUGCACAGCUUAAGAGUAUUGUAUUUAGAAAUAUGGGACUGGUGGGAAUUGGACUGCUGUCCCAGAGAAAACUGUUCACCGCAGGUCAUAGAGACUUAGAGAUGUGGCAAGAGUCGCAGAACUAGAUUGCUCAACUGUCUCAGCAGGCGGAAUGGAUGAUUAUCAAGCAGUGUACGUCAUCAACCAAAGUUGUAUCAUCUGUUUUGGCAUCCAUUCGACUGAUUGUUUCCAUCAGAUGGGAUUUUCAUGGCAUGAAAGCGAGGGAAGAGUGAAUGGGAUCCAAAGCCUCAAUUAACUUCAGUUUCAGGCUUCGACCAAGUCAUCCAAAAGACCAUGAGGGAUAAAAGACACUUUACCAAUAGAACAAUGGCAAAUUGGUGGUCCUGUCAUCAAGGGAUUUGAUUGGGGCUCAAAAGUACUUGGGAUCCCUACAG